rnacentral:rRNA from 1 species
AGAUUGAACGCUGGCGGCAUGCCUUACACAUGCAAGUCGAACGGUAACAGGUUAAGCUGACGAGUGGCGAACGGGUGAGUAAUAUAUCGGAACGUGCCCAGUAGUGGGGGAUAGCCCGGCGAAAGCCGGAUUAAUACCGCAUACGACCUACGGGUGAAAGCGGGGGAUCGCAAGACCUCGCGCUAUUGGAGCGGCCGAUAUCAGAUUAGCUAGUUGGUGGGGUAAAAGCUCACCAAGGCGACGAUCUGUAGCUGGUCUGAGAGGACGACCAGCCACACUGGGACUGAGACACGGCCCAGACUCCUACGGGAGGCAGCAGUGGGGAAUUUUGGACAAUGGACGCAAGUCUGAUCCAGCCAUGCCGCGUGCGGGAAGAAGGCCUUCGGGUUGUAACCGCUUUUGUCAGGGAGAAAGCUCCGAACUAAUAUUUUGGGUGAUGACGGUACCUGAAGAAUAAGCACCGGCUAACUACGCGCCAGCAGCCGCGGU